rnacentral:piRNA from 1 species
AAUCAAAGACUGAAAGACUCCUGGGUAG